rnacentral:tRNA from 1 species
GGUCUUCAGAAGCUUGCUUCUAUCGAACCGUUUUAGAAACAUCAGUGGCCAACGAUCGUCAGGAUUGUUGAGCUGCAUUGGCGGGAUUUCGCCGUCUUCGUUUCUCUUUCUUCGCGGACGAACACGCGCUGGGGCUGCAAGCUUGCAGAAUCCCUGGUCCUUGACUGGAUAUGCGUUAGGGGCUUGUAGCUCAGUUGGUUAGAGCGCGCGCUUGAUAAGCGUGAGGUCGGAAGUUCAAGUCUUCCCAGGCCCACCACACUCAUCGAGUGAGCAUUCGUCUUCUGGUUACGGGGCCAUAGCUCAGCUGGGAGAGCGCGUGCUUUGCAAGCAUGAGGUCGUCGGUUCGAUCCCGUCUGGCUCCACCAGAUGGUUUGAUCAUCGACUGAUCGUGCACCUAAAUCGUCCGCGAAACAUCACUUCGCACUUACUAGUCCGGAUGGACAGUAAGCUGCGUGAUUUCUGACAUCGUAAAGAGGAGAUCGAUCCGAGUUGGAUCGGGCAACAAGCAAUUGUUGCGCGAUACUUCAUUAUCUCCGGAUCAUUUCGGCGCUCGUGCGCCUUUCAAUGUAGCUCACAAGGCUGCGUCUGAGAGGAAUGCGAGUUGUAAAUGAUCCUUUUAGCGAAGCUUGACCGCCUCGCUAUCGGAACGAUCUUACGAAGCAAGCUGGUCUUUCUAAUCAUUGUCCGGCUGCAGAUAGCGUUCAUCGAGGGCGCGUGCCGCAAGGUAAUUCUGCAGACAACAUUCUGCCGAGUGUGUGGACAUUGAUAAUGAGAGCAAUCAAGUGCCUUAAGGGUGUUCGGUGAUGCCUG